rnacentral:lncRNA from 1 species
GGUCUAACAGGAUAACUUUGUUUAUUAGCUACUUUUAUAAAAAUUAUUUAAAACCUAUUAUCAUGACUAUCUAAUUUUUAAAAUUUUAAUUUUAUUACCUAACGUUUACAUAUAAAAUCAGAAUGAAAAUUUGAGUGCUCAAAAUUUAUUUAAAUAGUUUAUAACAAGAGCUGUUCAUGCACCUUUUUAAACAGAACUACUUACAUAUGAAUUGUUGAUAUGUUUGCAUAUUUAAUAUGCAGGGUUAAUUCAUACAGGCAUCUACAAAGAUAUCAAACAGCAAAUAUAUCUCUAUAAAAAUUAAGUUAUCAAAUUUAUUCAUUCAAAUUUUUUCUGAUUUAUAAAUAUAUCCUUCCAAUAGUUCUGAUUCGUUCACAUAUGUUUCUAUUAUUUGAUUCAUCAUUAAUUUUUUAACGGUUGGUGUAUAAAAGAAUUAUUUUAUUUUUACAAAUUUAUUCCAACAGAAAAUCAUUUUUCUUUCUCUCUCAUCUUGCUUUCGUCGCGGCACAUGCAGUGUACCUUAUUUUUAUUGCAAAGGAGGGCCUAUGUCGUCACCGUCAUAGGUCUCGUCGUUGCGAUUGAUAAAAAAGAGAGAAUGAGAAAUAUGAGGAAGACUCAACGUUAGAAUACAAAUUAUUUAUAUAUAUAAGGCGUAAAAAUGUCAUUUUUUUUUCUUAGGUAACUAUCGUUAACUUUUUUAACUUAUAAUUAUAUAAAUUUGAGAACAAAAGGGUAUAUUUAUGGACGGAAAAAUUUUUAAAGGAAUAAAUUUGAUAACUUUAAUUUUGUAGGGAGAUAUUUGCUAUUUGAUAUUUUUGUAGGAAGCCAUAUGCAAUUAU